rnacentral:lncRNA from 1 species
UCCUGGAUGGAGUCCUGGAAUAGAAAAAGAACAUUUGUGGGAAAACUAGUGAAAACCACGUGAAGCCUGGCAUUUAAUUAAUAGUGGGGUAGCAACAUUGGUAUCUUAGUUUUGACAAAUGUAACACAAAUAUUAGAUGUUAAUGUUAAGGGAAACUGGGUGAAGGGUGUGUGAAAACCCUCUCUAUUACCUGGGCAACUUUCCUGCAAAUUUAAAAUUAUUUCAAAGGAAAAAUUUUAUUUAAAAAAAUAAGAAAAGAAAAAGAAAGUCUGCAAGUAAUUGUAAGUAAAAGAAGAGGAGCUUUAAGUGGAGAAGUUAAAACUAUCGCUCUGGAAUCUAGGUUCUUCAUGAAGUCCAACUUUAAGACUGGCUGGCAUCUCCUUCUGUGAGAUCACGUUGGACCUAUUCUGGGUGGGCGUUUUGUCUUCCCUGGUUUGGCAACACUCCUCCUCUAUUCUCAUCCCUGAAGAGGAGGAGAUAGUCUCAGUCCUGAUACCUAAACACAGGAAAUGUUCCAUGGUAUCCAAGGAAAUAGGACAGAUUCAUUCUCCAGCCCCAGAUUACACCAUUAGCAUACAUUAUUAUGACGUCUUUGGCUACUAAGUAAAUGGAGAACUUCUGAGCCUCUCCAACCAAGUGCAGAUGGGGAUCCACCACCUGUGUCCUGUAGUGCACUCUCACCAGUCCUAACCAGCAGGAGGGAGGUGAGAGAGCCAGUUGUCUUAAUUAGCAAUGCCCAUUGUGAUAGUCUUAGCAGCCUCCUGCACAAGGUACCUUCCUCUUUUCUCUUUAGGACAUGAGCCAAGUAACAGAGCCUCUUAUAAGAAGCCAUCUUCCAAGGCACCAGGAACCAGCUAUUAUGGCUUGAAGUGAGAUGCAAUCUCGUCCCCUUGUGACUUCAAGAGCCCUGGAGAGUUAAUUUAAUUCUCGUUGCUCUCCAGCAUGAGGAUACGUGUGUGCAGGUAGAGUAUUGUGGCUUCCCCACUUGUGAACCUGUCCCUGGGGUGCCUUCUGAAUAAAUCUACAACUCUGUGGGUUUAGGUUUUAUUG